rnacentral:rRNA from 1 species
UUUAGUAGGGAAGAAGCAAAAGUGACGGUACCUGCAGAAAAAGCACCGGCUAACUACGUGCCAGCAGCCGCGGUAAUACGUAGGGUGCAAGCGUUGUCCGGAAUUAUUGGGCGUAAAGAGCUCGUAGGCGGUUUGUCGCGUCUGCUGUGAAAUCCCGAGGCUCAACCUCGGGCUUGCAGUGGGUACGGGCAGACUAGAGUGCGGUAGGGGAGAUUGGAAUUCCUGGUGUAGCGGUGGAAUGCGCAGAUAUCAGGAGGAACACCGAUGGCGAAGGCAGAUCUCUGGGCCGUAACUGACGCUGAGGAGCGAAAGCAUGGGGAGCGAACAGGAUUAGAUACCCUGGUAGUCCAUGCCGUAAACGUUGGGCGCUAGAUGUAGGGACCUUUCCACGGUUUCUGUGUCGUAGCUAACGCAUUAAGCGCCCCGCCUGGGGAGUACGGCCGCAAGGCUAAAACUCAAAGGAAUUGACGGGGGCCCGCACAAGCGGCGGAGCAUGCGGAUUAAUUCGAUGCAACGCGAAGAACCUUACCAAGGCUUGACAUACACCGGAAACGGCCAGAGAUGGUCGCCCCCUUGUGGUCGGUGUACAGGUGGUGCAUGGUUGUCGUCAGCUCGUGUCGUGAGAUGUUGGGUUAAGUCCCGCAACGAGCGCAACCCUCGUUCUAUGUUGCCAGCGGGUUAUGCCGGGGACUCAUAGGAGACUGCCGGGGUCAACUCGGAGGAAGGUGGGGAUGACGUCAAAUCAUCAUGCCCCUUAUGUCUUGGGCUUCACGCAUGCUACAAUGGCCGGUACAAAGGGCUGCGAUACCGUAAGGUGGAGCGAAUCCCAAAAAGCCGGUCUCAGUUCGGAUUGAGGUCUGCAACUCGACCUCAUGAAGUCGGAGUCGCUAGUAAUCGCAGAUCAGCAACGCUGCGGUGAAUACGUUCCCGGGCCUUGUACACACCGCCCGUCAAGUCAUGAAAGUCGGUAACACCCGAAGCCGGUGGCCUAACCCUUGUG